GAUGAACGCUGGCGGCGUGCCUAAUACAUGCAAGUCGAGCGAACGGACGAGAAGCUUGCUUCUCUGAUGUUAGCGGCGGACGUGUGAGUAACGCGUGGAUAACCUCCCUAUAAGACUGGGAUCACUUCGAGACACCGGAGCUAAUACCGUAUAAUCUUUUGAACCGCGUGGUUCAAAAGUGAAAGACGGUCUUGCUGUCACUUAUAGCUGCAUCCGCGCUGCAUUAGCUAGUUGUGACGGUCACGGCUUACCAAGGCAAGUAUGCAUAGCCGACCUGAGAGGGUGAUAGGCCACACGGGAGGUGAGACGCGGUCCAGACUCCUACGGGAGGCAGCAGUAGGGAAUCUUACGCAAUGGGCGAAAGCCUGACGGAGCAACGCGGCGUGAGUGAUGAAGGUCUUCGGAUCGUAAAACUCUGUUAUUAGGGAAGAACAGAUGUGUAAGUAACUGUGCACAUAGUGACGGUACCUAAUAAGAAAGCAACGGCUAACUACGUG
rnacentral:rRNA from 1 species